UGAAUACGAGAUGCUACGGCGUCGAAGCAGUGUAUGUCAGACUUCCAAGAAAAGCUCGCAAUGUCAUAAAUAAAGAAUGCCUGUACCAUAACCGACACAGGUGGGUAGGUAGAGUAUACUAAGGGGCGCGAGAUAACUCUCUCUAAGGAACUCGGCAAAAUAACUCCGUAACUUCGGGAGAAGGAGUGCCUUCUUUAAGAAGGUUGCAAUAACAAGAUCCAAGCAACUGUUUAUCAAAAACACAGGUCUCCGCUAAGUCGUAAGACGAUGUAUGGGGGCUGACGCCUGCCCAGUGCCAGAAGGUUAAAGAAGUUGGUUAGCUUUUGCGAAGCUGAUGACUGAAGCCCUGGUGAACGGCGGCCGUAACAAUAACGGUCCUAAGGUAGCGAAAUUCCUUGUCGGGUAAGUUCCGACCCGCACGAAAGGCGUAAUGAUUUGGAUACUGUCUCGGAGAGGGACUCGGUGAAAUAGACUUGUCUGCGAAGAUGCGGACUACCUGCACCAGGACAGAAAGACCCUAUGAAGCUUUACUGUAACUUGAAAUUGAAAUUGGACUUUAUUUGCGCAGUAUAGGUGGAAGGCGUUGAAAGUAAUCUUGCGGGAUUAGUGGAGCCAUCAGUGAGAUACCACUCCUAUAAUGUUAGAUUUCUAACUUUGGAUCAUGAUCUGGUCAAAGAACAGUUUCAGGCGGGCAGUUUGACUGGGGCGGUCGCCUCCCAAAUGGUAACGGAGGCGUACAAAGGUUUCCUCUGAACGGGUAGAAAUCGUAUCUAGAGUGUAAAGGCAUAAGGAAGCUUGACUGUGAGACCUACAAGUCGAGCAGGGACGAAAGUCGGUCUUAGUGAUCUGACGGUGCUGAGUGGAAAGGCCGUCACCCAACGGAUAAAAGUUACUCCAGGAUAACAGGCUGAUCUCCCCCAAGAGUUCACAUCGACGGGGAGGUUUGGCACCUCGAUGUCGGCUCAUCGCAUCCUGGGGCGGUAGUACGUCCCAAGGGUUGGGCUGUUCGCCCAUGAAAGCGGUACGCGAGCUGGGUUCAGAACGUCGUGAGACAGUUCGGUCCAUAUCCGGUGUAGGCGUUAGAAUAUUGAGAGGAGCCUUCUUUAGUACGAGAGGACCGAGAAGGACAUACCUCUGGUGUACCAGUUAUCGUGCCAACGGUAAACGCUGGGUAGCUAUGUAUGGAGAGGAUAACCGCUGAAAGCAUCGAAGUGGGAAGCCCACCUCAAGAUGAGUAUUC
rnacentral:rRNA from 1 species